UACGAAGGGGGCUAGCGUUGCUCGGAAUUACUGGGCGUAAAGGGCGCGUAGGCGGCACUGUUAGUCAGGCGUGAAAGUCCUGGGCUCAACCUGGGAACUGCGCUUGAUACGGCAGAGCUAGAGGAUGGAAGAGGGUCGCGGAAUUCCCAGUGUAGAGGUGAAAUUCGUAGAUAGUUGGGAAGAACACCGGUGGCGAAGGCGGCGACCGGUCCAUUACUGACGCUGAGGCGCGACAGCGUGGGGAGCAAACAGG
rnacentral:rRNA from 1 species